GGCAAGGGGUGAGGGUAUAAAGUCCCCCCCCUCUCCCUCACCUCACCCUCAGAGUCAGCGCUUCAUUCUUCCUCUGAAAUGUCACGCAGCGCCGCGCCACAUCGUUUUCACAGCAAAUAAAACAAUUUCUCCUUACACAUCCGCCUUAAAGAGGAGAGCGAGGCGUCCCCGGGCGAGCUCAGGGAUGAAAAAUGAGCUUGCAGAUACAUAAUAAAGAAAGCUGUAUACGGAGAGACAGACAGACUUAUUGGCGCAGAGAAAGAGUUAGGUGGAGAAAAGGAAGGUUGCAGAUAGAUGAUAAAGAGAGCUGUAUACGGAGAGACAGACAGACUUAGUGGCGCAGAGAAAAAGAGUUAGAAGGAGAAAAGGAAGAUUGCAGAUAGAUGAUAAAGAAAUUUGUAUGCGGAGAGACAGACAGACUUAGUGGCGCAGAGAAAAAGAGUUAGAAGGAGAAAAGGAAGAUUGCAGAUACAUAAUAAAGAAAUUUGUAUACGGAGAGACAGACAGACUUAUUGGCGCAGAGAAAAAGAGUUAGAAGGAGAAAAGGAAGAUUAAAAAAGAAAAGAAAAGAGCAGAUGGAAAAGACGAAGAAGGGAAAUGAACGAAGAAAACGGAGCCCGAAGAAGAAAAUGGGAAGAUAAAAUAGCCCCCCCAAAAAACACAUAGAAGGGAAGAAACAGGACAUAGAGAAGGAAUAUAUAAACGAAACGAAGAAAACGGAGCCCGAAGAAGAAAAAGGGAAGAUAAAAUAGCCUCCCCAAAAACACAUAGAAGGGAAGAAAAAGAGGAAACAUAGAAACGAAGAAAACGGAGCCAGAAGAAGAAAAUGGGAAGAUAAAAUAGCCCCCCAAAACACAUAGAAGGGAAGAAAAAGAGGAAACAGAGAAGAAAUAUGUAAAAGAACGAAGAAAACGGAGCCAGAAGAGAAAGAAAAAGGGAAGAUAAAAUGGAUAAAUAAAUAUAAAAAUAGUAAAAAAUGAUAGAGCGGACAGAGAGGACGGAGAAGCAAACGACAACGAAGAAAACGAAGGAAGAAAGAACCAGAAGAAGAAAACAAGAUGAAAAAAUCACAAGAAAAAAAAUAACCUGAAAAAAGAUAAAAAAAGAGAAAGUGAAAGAACAAGAAUAAAAAAAAGAAGAAAAAGAGAAGAAAAGAAGAAAAAAGAGACACAAACGAAUGAUUGAAGAAAAUCUAGACCAUGUAAAGAAGACAAAAGAUAAAAAAAUAAAAAGAAUGAAAAUAAAAAAAACUGAAAAAUAAAGAAAACGAAGAAAAAGAACCGAGAGGAACGAAUAAGAAGAGAGAGAGAGAGAGAGAGAGAGAGAGAGAGAGAGAGAGAGAGAGAGAGAGAGAGAGAGAGAGAGAGAGAGAGA